GAAAUGCGAUAAGUAAUGUAAAUUGCAGAAUUCAGUGAAUCAUCGAAUCUUUGAACGCACCUUGCGCUCCUUGGUAUUCCUUGGAGCAUGCCUGUUUGAGUAUCAUGAAAUCUUCAAAGUAAAUCUUUUGUUAACUCAAUUGGUUUCUACUUUGGUAUUGGAGGUCUUUGCAGCUUCACACCUGCUCCUCUUUGUUCAUUAGCUGGAUCUCAGUGUUAUGCUUGGUUCCACUCGGCGUGAUAAGUUAUCUAUCGCUGAGGACACUGUAAAAGGUGGCCAAGGUAAAUGCAGAUGAACCGCUUCUAAUAGUCCAUUGACUUGGACAAUACUUUUAUGAUCUGAUCUCAAAUCAGGUAGGGAUACCCGCUGAACUUAAGC
rnacentral:misc_RNA from 1 species